rnacentral:snRNA from 1 species
CUACUCGCUUUGGCAGCACAUAUAUUAAAAUUGGAAAGAUACAGAGAAGAUCAGCACGGCCCCUGCACAAGGGUGACAUGCAAAUUCAUGAAGCAUUCCAUAUUUUU